GGGGGUGCCAAGGUUUCGACGGGGAUCGGAAGCGCAAGUUGCAUGCCGGAGUGGGCUGGCUCCGUAAAAAAGCCCAACCUAACAAACGCCGACACUGACGUUCGUUACGCACUGGCGGCUUAAACGCCGUCACGUCUCCUGUUUCAUCGCCCAUGUGGGGCAGUAGACGUUAAUAGAGUGGGCUAGUCGGCGCGACUGUCCGUGGCGCACCGGCGAAACCUAAGCGGACUCGCCCGCAAGGAAUCCUGUUCGUGGGAGCUCUUCCGGGUUAAGUAAAACACGAACUACGCAUGUAGACGCUUGACGUGAAAGAUUUUCGGACGCGGGUUCGAUUCCCGCCACCUCCACCA
rnacentral:tmRNA from 1 species